UCUGGAAGAAACUGGGGAGGGGGCCUAUGCAGAUCCCCUGGGAAUUGAUGGGGUAGUAAACACAGGCUUCUGCUGCCGCAUCAGCUGCUCAGGCUUAAAAUAGGAAUGAGAAGAGUCCAAGGAGGAGCUAUAGAUAGAGAGGGAAUAAAGGGCCCAGAGAGGAUGGGCUAUAUUUGGUGAGUGCUGGAACACAGAGCAAACAAGCUGAAGGAAAUGGAGGAAGGCUAACUUUUUGGAAUAGAUUAGGGAUGUGCAGAACGUUUUGGCGGUGAAAUAUUUUGACUCGAAAAGGGCCAUGUCAAGCUCAAAACUAAAUAUCAUUUAAAGGGCCUGUUUGGAGUUCAGAGCAAAAGAACUCAAUUUCAAGUGAAAACCUUUUGAUGUUUCGAGUGCCAUUUUGGAGGCCUCUUUUUCCCUUGCUGAUUGCUCUGUUUUCUGGCACUAGCUUCCGAUUGGCUUGUGAUCUCUUUGCUUCUUUGUUGGUUUAUUAUACAAAUCAAUGUUGUCAUGGGCAACUGUAUCUCCAUUGGCUGGGGGGAGGGGGGAACCCAAAAGGAGGGAGUUUUGAAAUGUAUAGGGCCUGGGAGGCAGAGAGAACCCUUAUAGUGUGCCUCUCUUGAAGAGGAUACAUCAGGAUGGAAGGAAGGAACCCAUUCCAACAAGUUUGAAAUGGUUAAUGGAGCAAGACCAACUGGGAAGAAAAGAGCAUUUCAAUCACUAAGAACAUUAUCUGCUAAGCAUCUCUGGAGACACCUUAAGCUGACAGACUGAGGACAAGAUGUAGGAUUCCAGACUCCACAUCAUAUCGACAGCCAAAGAGUGCUCCUUACACCCUGAAAAUGCACUGAGCUCUUUAACCAAAAUGCAAUUCCCCUCAGAACAGAAUUCUGCUUAGAAGAAAUGUUUAGAAUGCUUAGAGAAAACUAGCCCAAGGCAACAAAACUUUGGAAAAUAGAAGGAACCCUGAAAACAAGCAUCUAUGCUUGUAGAUGCUAGUACAAAGGAACUAAAGAUAUGCAGCACAAAAACAAAAAACAAAAACCCUGGGCCCUGCAUGAGCAGUUGCCAUUUGGCACUGUACAUGGAGGUUACACACAAUGUCCUACAUGGAAGAGGCUUCUGUGCAGGACCUGUACAAUGAGUGAAGAGGCCCUCUAUCAGUUGCAUCCAUAGCAUGGCAACUUUGAAGAUGGAAACAUGGCUGCAUACAG